rnacentral:rRNA from 1 species
UACGAAGGGGGCUAGCGUUGCUCGGAAUCACUGGGCGUAAAGGGUGCGUAGGCGGGUCUUUAAGUCAGGGGUGAAAUCCUGGAGCUCAACUCCAGAACUGCCUUUGAUACUGAGGAUCUUGAGUUCGGGAGAGGUGAGUGGAACUGCGGGUGUAGAGGUGAAAUUCGUAGAUAUUAGGAAGAACACCAGUGGCGAAGGCGGCUCACUGGCCCGGUACUGACGCUCAUGUGCGAAAGCGUGGGGAGCAAACAGG